AGUGAACGCUGGCGGUAGGCCUAACACAUGCAAGUCGAACGGCAGCACAGUAAGAGCUUGCUCUUACGGGUGGCGAGUGGCGGACGGGUGAGGAAUACAUCGGAAUCUACUUUUUCGUGGGGGAUAACGUAGGGAAACUUACGCUAAUACCGCAUACGACCUACGGGUGAAAGCAGGGGAUCUUCGGACCUUGCGCGAUUGAAUGAGCCGAUGUCGGAUUAGCUAGUUGGCGGGGUAAAGGCCCACCAAGGCGACGAUCCGUAGCUGGUCUGAGAGGAUGAUCAGCCACACUGGAACUGGGACACGGUCCAGACUCCUACGGGAGGCAGCAGUGGGGAAUAUUGGACAAUGGGCGCAAGCCUGAUCCAGCCAUACCGCGUGGGGGAAGAAGGCCUUCGGGUUGUAAAGCCCUUUUGUUGGGAAAGAAAAGCAGCAGGUUAAUACCCCGCUGUUCUGACGGUACCCAAAGAAUAAGCACCGGCUAACUUCGUG
rnacentral:rRNA from 1 species